AACUAAAUUGCAACUGCACAAAUGCUUCUGCACAAGGGUUCUAUUUAUAGAACCACUUGUGUGGGCUGCAAGCUAAAAAAAGCCCACUUAAGUGUAUGUGGCCCAUAUCUUAUAUUAUGCCAAAAUUACUUAAGCGUGUGGUACCUUACCAUAUUUCGUAUUCUACUUAAGCACACCGUACAUUACGAUGUUCUACAAUUCACUUAAGUGCAC
rnacentral:lncRNA from 1 species